rnacentral:rRNA from 1 species
GCGCGAAACCCCUGCAAUAGGCGAAAGCUUGACAGGGUUACUCUGAGUGACGUCCGUUAAGGACGUCUUUUGGCACCUCUAAAAAUGGUGCAGAAUAAGGGGUGGGCAAGUCUGGUGUCAGCCGCCGCGGUAAUACCAGCACCCCGAGUGGUCGGGACGAUUAUUGGGCCUAAAGCAUCCGUAGCCGGUUCUGCAAGUCUUCCGUUAAAUCCACCUGCUCAACAGAUGGGCCGCGGAGGAUACUACAGGGCUAGGAGGCGGGAGAGGCAAGCGGUACUCAGUGGGUAGGGGUAAAAUCCUCCGAUCCACUGAAGACCACCAGUGGCGAAGGCGGCUUGCCAGAACGCGCUCGACGGUGAGGGAUGAAAGCUGGGGGAGCAAACCGGAUUAGAUACCCGGGUAGUCCCAGCUGUAAACGAUGCAGACUCGGUGAUGGGUUGGCUUCGAGCCAACCCAGUGCCGCAGGGAAGCCGUUAAGUCUGCCGCCUGGGGAGUACGGUCGCAGGACUGAAACUUAAAGGAAUUGGCGGGGGAGCAC